CGCGAAGAACCUUACCCAGGCUCGAAAUGUAAUGGACGAUAUCAGAGAUGGUAUUUUCCGCAAGGACCGUUAUAUAGGUGCUGCAUGGCUGUCGUCAGCUCGUGCCGUGAGGUGUUUGGUUAAGUCCAGCAACGAGCGCAACCCUUAUCAUUAGUUGCCAACACGCAAGGUGGGGACUCUAGUAAGACUGCCCGGGUUAACCGGGAGGAAGGUGGGGAUGACGUCAAAUCAUCAUGCCCCUUAUGUCCAGGGCUACACACGUGCUACAAUGGUAAGUACAGAGAGAUGCAGUACCGCGAGGAGGAGCUAAACUCAAAAACUUAUCUCAGUUCGGAUUGUAGGCUGCAACUCGCCUACAUGAAGCUGGAGUUGCUAGUAAUCGCGAAUCAGAAUGUCGCGGUGAAUACGUUCCCGGGCCUUGUACACACCGCCCGU
rnacentral:rRNA from 1 species